UGGGGAAUAUUGCACAAUGGGGGAAACCCUGAUGCAGCGACGCCGCGUGAACGAAGAAGGUAUUCGUAUCGUAAAGUUCUGUCCUAUGGGAAGAUAAUGACAGUACCAUAGAAGAAAGCUCCGGCCAAUUACGUGCCAGCAGCCGCGGUAAUACGUAUGGAGCGAGCGUUGUCCGGAAUUAUUGGGCGUAAAGGGUACGCAGGCGGUUUAAUAAGUCGAAUGUUAAAGAUCGGGGCUCAACCCCGCAAAGCAUUGGAAACUGAUAAACUUGAGUAGUGGAGAGGAAAGUGGAAUUCCUAGUGUAGUGGUGAAAUACGUAGAUAUUAGGAGGAAUACCAGUGGCGAAGGCGACUUUCUGGACACAAACUGACGCUGAGGUACGAAAGCGUGGGGAGCAAACAGG
rnacentral:rRNA from 1 species